AUUUGUCUGUAGUCGUCUCGGGUCCGCCGCCGUUUACGUUGUCGUCAAAUCAUUUUGGAUUUCGAUCGCGCAUCUGCUUACGUUAACGAGCACUGGAUCACAUAAUAUAAGUAAUAAUAUCACGUUAUACGUCAAGGUAAUAAUUUGUAAUAAAUUCAUAAUUAUUGGUGCGAGUGUGCGACUUGGUGCGAUCCGGUGGAUUGUUGAUUAAUUAUCAUUUAUUAACGAUAUCGGCAAUAAUUGAGCGUGGGUGCAACAGUGGAGUAGUCCAGACACUGAUUCGGCAACCUAAACGGCUACAAGUGACGUCCGUACGUGCGUAAGGCAUUUUGGAUUUCGUCUUCGUGUCGCUCAAGACAAGGUUACCUCCAUACCAGUGUUGCAGUCCAGCCGAUCGGUCAGUGGCCGAUCGAGAAGGCAUCCACUCCAACGUCCGGUGACUGAAUUGUAUCAACACCGCAGUGGUAUCCCGAAGGACGAGUCACUAGCAACUCGUGUUUGUGUGUAAGCUACCUGCCACGGCGCUUUUAAGAAUCGACCUGAAAUUCACCGAGAGACGACCAAACCGACGGUACCCGCUGUUUUGCUUGAUUCCACGCUUGUGUUGAACCAUGAGAGAGUGCAUCCAAAAAAACAAUCACCCUGACAUUGGCGAUUAUUAUGUUUGCACAAGGUGCAUACAUUUCAUGCUAUCUACCAACACAGCUGAAGCACAUCGUACCUGUACCGAAAAACAGUUUCCAACAUAUAAACCAGAUGAACAAUUAUACCGAUGCUCAUCAUGUGGUCGGUACUUCGGCAACAUUGACCAAUGGAAGGCACACGAUGAGUUACACAAACGUAUCGGAAAUUACAAUCCAACCAAAUUUGUGGUUCGAAUUGACCAAAAUAAUUUUGUUGUGAAUUGAAGUGUUUAAUUUUUUUCUUUUUAUUAGUUGUGGUUUUUUGUAUUAUCGUUACUUAUUCAUUUUUAUGAUUUUACUACCUAUCUGAUAACUAAAAGACAUUGUUUACAUAUAUUUAGCAUAUAUUUUUUUUAUAUAUACAUUUAACAUUUUGUAUACCUAAUUUGUGUGUUUGUACAAGUUAUUUAUAAUGUCUAAAUUCCAAAAUUAUAAAAUAAGCACAUUUUUUUGUGUUCUAUAUUGUUUAAU